UUUAUAACUUAUUAAAUUAAACUGAGAGCUUCUUUAUGAAUUACUUAUGGUUACUGAGAGCUUCUUUAUGAAUUCCUUUGAAUUUUAAAAUGCUGUAAUUAGAAUUAAAUACAAACAUAAUAAAAUUCACUUGGAUGCCUUUCAAGGACUGCUUGGGAAACUUACCUCAAGGCAGAAAGAUAUGAAGUAUUUUCUGUAAACUCAGCUUGCAACUAACAAUGUGUUGGCUGAAUUCAAAUGCUGUUGAUAGAUGGCACCUAUUCCUAAGAUUGGGCUCCAAGAUAUCAAUUGCUCUUUGGUGUGACCUGUUCCCUCCUUGAUAUUGAAAACUUUUAAGAUCCCGGAAUGACAAGGCAAGAGUGAAGUUUUUCUUACUUUUCGAUAAAUUUGAAUUUGGGGCCAAGAAAUCCCAAAACCAUGCAUAGAAAAA